AACAAGGAUUCCCCUAGUAACUGCGAGUGAAGCGGGAAAAGCUCAAAUUUAAAAUCUGGCGGUCUUUGGUCGUCCGAGUUGUAAUCUAGAGAAGUAAUGCCCGUGCUGGACCGUGUAUAAGUCUCCUGGGAUGGGGCGUCAUAGAGGGUGAGAAUCCCGUCUUUGACACGGACUACCAGUGCAUUGUGGUAUGCUCUCAAAGAGUCGAGUUGUUUGGGAAUGCAGCUCAAAAUGGGUGGUAAAUUCCAUCUAAAGCUAAAUAUUGGCGAGAGACCGAUAGCGAACAAGUACCGUGAGGGAAAGAUGAAAAGAACUUUGGAAAGAGAGUUAAACAGUACGUGAAAUUGCUGAAAGGGAAACGCUUGAAGUCAGUCGCGUUGGCCGGGGAUCAGCCUUGCUUUUGCAUGGUGUACUUUCUGGUUGACGGGUCAGCAUCAAUUUUGACCGCUGGAAAAGGGCCUGGGGAAUGUGGCAGCUUCGGCUGUGUUAUAGCCCCUGGUCACAUACGGCGGUUGGGAUUGAGGAACUCAGCACGCCCGCAAGGCGGGUUUCGACCACGUUCGUGCUUAGGAUGCUGGCAUAAUGGC
rnacentral:rRNA from 1 species